rnacentral:tRNA from 1 species
ACUAAAUCAGUAAGUUGGCAGCAUUACCUUUAUUCUCUAGAAAUAUAUUUAAGCUGAAUGGUUCGAUAUCAUUAUUGAAUU